AGAAAUCCUAAAAAAAAUUAAAAUAAUCACAAAUAUAUCUUAAAUAAAUUUCAAUCAAAUUCUAAUUUAAUCCUAAUUGAAAAUCCUAAUGGACUUCAAUCAAAUCCUAAAUAAAUCAUAGAAAAAUCCUAAAUCUUGAAUCAAAUCCUAAAUAAAACUCUAAAUAAAAUCUUAAAUAAAUUCUAAAUCCUAAAUCAAACCUUAAACCAAACUCUAAAUCAAAUCUUAGAAAAAUUCUAAACCAAAUCCUAAAUCAAACC
rnacentral:lncRNA from 1 species